GACUACAUUGGCCACCGUAGGAGUUAAAACGAACAGAUAAUGCGAAUCCUUCUAGAAGACUUUCCUGCAGUUCCAAACACAGAGGGCGGGUGAAACAUUAAAGAUGCUGAAAAGCAAAAGGAGAAGAUGAAAGGACCCUAAUGGAGGAGUUUUCCAUUUUCCAGCCCAGAUCUGACCCAAACACACAUCCAUAAACUGAACAACCGUUUCUCUUGCUCACUUGCUGUAUUUGCCUCCAUUGAGCACCUGGGACGUCUGUCUGUACGCGGAGGGAAGCGGGACCUGCUGACGGU